CUAUUUCCUCUCUUUGUAACCCUGAUUUGGCCCUUAAGGCCAGCACCUUCUAUUGGACUUUUAAUCAACUUAGGUAGGGCAGUUAGUGUUUCUUAAGUUCAGGUAGUACCUUUUCAAAGCAUUUGAAACAGAGGAGAGCCAAUUAACGAAUAGUGUAAAAUUGGUGUCUAUAAUAAUCUAAAUUAUGCUGUACACUGGCCAUCGUCAUCCUAUGGUACAAUAUUUGACAGCCUGUAAUACCUUUUCUAUUUCCCUUGUCCCAGAUCCGUUGGUGCUUUUAUUUGUCAUGACAAUAACAGAUAGGGAGUUGGCAUGACAGACAUUGGUUAUUGAUGUGAACUCCAAAUUCAGUGGAAUGUGCCAUUUCCCCUUCAGCCAGCAAGGCAUUUUAUGGAGGGAGGGAACUACUGAGCUCCAGGUCCUUCCCUCUUUUUGGUUGUUGGUAUAAGAAGGCAGCCCCAAGGCCUUACUGCCUCUAAGCCUAAACAGACACUCAGGAUGCACAGUAAACCCUCACUACGCCGGUCGUCUGCAAGUGGAUGCACCCUGAAGGAGACCCAGGGGGACCUACUGUUGAGAGAGACAGAGACAUAAGAAAUCCUGAGUGCAAUUGGCUAAGACACAGCUGAACAUGCCACCGUCCUUCUGGAAGAAUAUGUGAAAAGAUGAGUCCUAGUUAGAGCUUCCUGGUAACGCACAUCUCUAUGUUUCGUUGCUUUUCUACGUCUAAUACUGAGUGCCAUGAACAUAUGCAUGGCAUCGAAGAAAUAAAGAGAGAACCCAGGCAUUUUGGAGCGCAGUGUCAAAGCCGGGCCUCUGUCGAGGUUCAUGGCCCUUCCGGCAGGACAAUGACCACAGGCACUUAAAUAAACACUCAUGAAUGGUUCACGAUAAAACUCUGGAUGUGCAAUGAGUCCAGAUCCAAAUGCUAUUGAAAACCUGGAACAGGUGAGAUCUGGAAACAGCAGCUGGGAGGCACCUUUCAAAUCUUGGACAAUUGAAAUAGUUUGCACAGGGAGAGUGGGCCAAACUGAAGCUUGUUUAGUGGGAGACAAUAUAGAGGUACAGAAAGCUCUUCAAUGGCUAUAGGAAGCACUUGAACUCAGUUACUUUGGCCAAAGUUUGUAUAAGAUAUAAUACAUGUUUUUAGGAAAUGUUCCACAAAGGUGAUGAUCUAAAUGCAAUUAAAAUACAG
ensembl:lncRNA